rnacentral:rRNA from 1 species
CGUGAACGCUGGCGGGAGGCCUAACACAUGCAAGUCGAACGGCAGCACAUUAAGAGCUUGCUCUCACGGGUGGCGAGUCGCGGACGGGUGCGGAAUACAUCGGAACCUACUCUUUCGCAGGGACUUACGCACCGAAACUUACCCUAAUACCGCAACCGACCUGCCGGUGUAAGCACGCGAUAUUCGGACCUUGCGCGAUUUGAUGAUCCGCUGUCGGAUUAGCUAGUUGGCGGGGUAAAGACCCACCAAGGCGACGAUCCGUAGCUGGUCUGAGAGGAUGAGCAGCCACACUGGAACUGAGACACGGUCCAGACUCGUACGGGGGGACGCAGUGGGGAAUAGUGGAAAGUGGGAGCAAGGCUGAUCCAGCAAUAGCGCAUGGGUGAAGAAGGCAUUGGGGUUGUAAGGCCCAUCUGUCGGGAAAGAAAAGCAGCAGGUUAAUAGGCCGCUGUUCUGACGGUACCCAAAGAAUAAGCACCGGCUAACUUCGUG